GUUUUAUCUCAACAGUAAAACAGUCAACACCCAUCCAAAAUGAUGAAAUACUUGAUCUUCGUUUUCGUAGCCUUGAUGGCCCUCGUAGCUACCGCUUUGGCCGAGCCAGAACCACAACCAUCUGGAAUCAUUGGUGCCGGAGUUUUGGCACCAGCCGUUGCUGUUGGUGGCUGGGGACUUGGACAUGGAGUUGUUCAUGGUUAAACAACAAGAAAUAUAAUUACAAUUACAAAAUUUCUAUAAAUUCCGAUUGUUUUCCGUAUUACAGACCAAUAAAUCAUUGAUAAAAUUACAUGUUUUGUUGUGAGUCAAUGUUAUAACGUUUAUACAAUUCAUGAUUUGUUGUUCUUAGUGAUGAAGUGAUACGUGGAAGAAAUUUGAUAGUUUGAAGACAUAAGUAAUAUAUCUAGUUGCCGCAGGUGAUUAUUUACUAUAAAUAUGAAACGAACUUGACUUUCAAUAUCAGUUUUGUGCGAAAUGUUAAAAAUACUGAUUUUACUUAUUUUUGUUUGUAUGGCUGUACUAACUUGUCAUGCUGGUGUUAUUGUUGCACCAGGUUUGGUGGCUACAGGAGUUUUAGCACCAUUAAGAACAGUUGCUUAUGGGGUACCAGUUGGUCUUGGUCAUGGAUAUAUUGGUUAAACAACAAUAUAUUCAUCCUUUUACUAAAUAAUAAAAUAGAAAUAAAAAGGA